rnacentral:rRNA from 1 species
GUUCAGCACUAAGUCACUUUGUCUUUAUGGCAAAUGUGAGAUGCAGUGUAUGGAAUGUCAAAUUUCUAGUAUGAGAAAUUAACGAUUUAAGUCCUUCUUAAAUGAGGCCAUUUACCCAUAGAGGGUGCCAGGCCCGUAUAACGUUAAUGAUUACUAGAUGGCAUUUCCAAAGAGUCGUGUUGCUUGAUAGUGCAGCACUAAGUGGGUGGUAAACUCCAUCUAAAACUAAAUAUAACCAUGAGACCGAUAGUAAACAAGUACCGUGAGGGAAAGUUGAAAAGAACUCUGAAUAGAGAGUUAAAUAGUACGUGAAACUGCUUAGAGGUUAAGCCCGAUGAACCUGAAUAUCCAUUAUGGAAAAUUCAUCAUCAUGAUUUUAAUAUUUAUAAUAUUAUAAGAAUGGUGUGCAUUUUUUCUAUAACGGACAUUGUAAUCUAUUAACAUAAACAUAUUUAUCAUAAGAUCAAUGAUGCGUAAGUUUAUUCAAAUUAUUUUGCUUGCAAUUUAACAUAGAAUAAAUGCUCUUGAUUUGAUAAAGUGUUGAUAGAUUUAUUGUAUAUAGUGCUUGAAUAUUUAUAUUCUAUAAUAGCAUAUUAAUCAUUGGUUUUUAUGUUUAUUAUAUGCACUUAUAUGAUUAACAAUGCGAAAGAUUCAGGAUACCUUCGGGACCCGUCUUGAAACACGGACCAAGGAGUCUAACAUAUUUGCAAGUUAUUGGGCAUAAAAACCUAAUAGCGAAAUUAACAUAACUUUAAUGGGAUUAGUUUUUAGAUUAUUUUUAAUAGUCUAUUAAUUCAAUCCCGGGG